AUUCCAGCUCCAAUAGCAUAUAUUUAAGUUGUUGCAGUUAAAAAGCUCGUAGUUGGAUCUUGGGUCGUAAGGGUCGGUCCGCCUACUCGGUGUGCACCUGCCCUUCCGUCCCUUUUGUCGGCGGCGUGCUCCUGGCCUUAAUUGGCUGGGUCGCGGUUCCGGCGCUGUUACUUUGAAAAAAUUAGAGUGCUCAAAGAAAGCUUAUGCUCUGAAUACAUUGGCAUGGAAUAACGUGAUAGGAGUCUGGUCAUAUUGUGUUUGCCUUCGGGAUCGGAGUAAUGAUUAAUAGGGACUGUCAGGGGCAUUCGUAUUUCAUUGUCAGAGGUGAAAUUCUUGGAUUUAUGAAAGACGAACCACUGCGAAAGCAUUUGCCAAGGAUGUUUUCAUUA
rnacentral:rRNA from 1 species